AGCAAAGAGAGAAAAACAACUGCUGAAACUAUUCGCACUAGCUAGGUAAUAUAGCUAAGUAGCUAGCUAGCCAGUUGCCAUUCAUAUGCAAAUACUUUUGUCCAACGUUGCUGUUACAACGAUAAAGUAGACAUUGUUGCUAUCCCCUAACGUUAGCUACAUUAGCUAGCUAAAUUAAUGCCAACAAUUUGCUAGCUAAGGUUAGCUGCAGCAUGGCAACAGCGGUUCCUGCUCUGAAGCUGGACCAACAGGUCGAAGACAAUAGGGGUUUGUUCACCACUGCCUUGUCGGAGGAAGUGCUCGUGGAGGCGCGUCUUGAACGGGCCAUCUGCCGGGUCCAGCAGCAUCUUACUAUCACCUGGAAGGAGAGGGGACCGGCCUGAACACAUUCACGUUAUAACAAACAAAGCCAUUGAACAGGGUAUUCUGUACCGCAGGCUGAAAGACUUCACUUCUGUCAUUGAGGACCUGGUCCUGGCUGUGGAGCUGAGUGAGGCUUGACUCCAGGGUGCGGAGCCGAGCAGAGACACCCAGGAAGACCUGGGUGUGCAGGAGGAGGCCCAGGCCCAGCUGGUGCUCACCUAUAACGACUUUGCCGUGCAGUGCUUUUCCUGUAGCUCCUCCAUGUUGCUCAGCAAGGCUAUCCAGGAGCAGAAGGAGGAAAGCGGCCUUUACAUUAACUGAGGAGACUGUUUCUUCAAGCAGGAAGAGUGGGAGUUUGCCCUGGCUGACUACCAACAGGCGGAGGAGAUGACUCCUGAUGACCAGGCCAUCUGGAUCCGCCUUGCUGUCAUCCACAACACCCUGGGCACACACUGCUAUCAGGACUGGUGAGUCUCAGUCUGUCAUCCAUAACACUGUAUUGUCUUCACCGCAGGAAGUACCAGGAGGCAGCUCUGAGAAGUUGUCUGAAGCCAUCAAGUACAACCCUUGAGUCAGCCAGGACUAUGAGAACCGGGCCAAAGCCCCACCGUAAAGUGCCUAACGUGGAGGGGGCCAAGCAGGAUGCUAUCAGUACCCUUGUCCUGGACCCCACUAAUGAUCAGGCAAGACCCUCAAUGCCUGUACUGUAUGUCUCAUCCACUCUGUCCAUAAUACUGAGCUGUUAUGGCUAGGGCCUAAUGUGGACUAAGGACCCUAGUUAUGCAAGUACUAAGCUCUCACCACUUGCUUCCUAUGCAGAUUGGGGGGAAAAAAAUAAGUGUUUUUUUUAUAAGUAUAUGAACAGGUUAUUCUUUCUUUUAACGCACAUUUCAUUUUAUGUAAUACAUGUUUCAUAAAGUGGUGCGGAACUCCCACUUGGUGCAGAACUGACUGCUGUAGUAAAUCUGUCCCUCUGUCUGCAUGUGUUUUUCAGGUUUCAAGUUUUAAUGUCACAUGCACAAGUACAGUGACAUGCCUUUCCUGCCAGCUCUAACCCCAACAAUGCAGUAAUCAAUAACAAUGUAAUACUAAAAAUAACAAGCUAGAGCAAAACCACACGAGAUAUAGAAAUAAGAAGAACACAAUAAAAUAAGUCAGCAUACUAUUUACAGGGUCAGUUCCAGUACCAUAUAUAUGCAGGGAUACUGGAUCGAUAGAGGUAGAUACUGUAUGUGAAGUGC